GGGAGAGGGGACAGCAGGGGAGGGGCCGGGGCUGGCAGGCCUCCCUGGCUGGGAGCUCAAGGGCCGGGCAGGAUGGUCCCGCGGGCUGGAAUUGGUGCGCGGGUUGUAGUUUGCCCAGCUCUGACCUAGAUGCAUCUACAGCGGGGGUUAGCUUGACCUAACUAUAUUGCCCAGGGCACAAAAUUUUUCACAGCCCCAAGCAAUGUCAGUCUAGGUUGAUCUAAUUUUUAGGAGUAGACCAGACCGAAGUUAUUACAGGGAGACUUGGUAACGACCCUUAUACUUAAAUUGCGUAACGCUUUCCUCUAUAAAGAACACUCAAGACCUUUCUAUCACCUUUCUGUUGUUUGAGGUGAACUUUUGAUGUUUGACAUGGGGGCAUGCCAUUAGGCUAGGGAAGUGCCUUUUCUUUGUCCCAUGAAAUUGUGUUCAGCUUUUGCUAUGUUACAGGCUGUUUAGAAAAUGCCACCUUUUGCUUGCAUUCCUCAGGAAAGUGUUGGCCGCAUGCUCGUAGCUCAUGCGAGGCUCCUGCUGUUGCUGCUACUACAACAGCAGACAUAUUGGGAACUACUAGGAGCUUCCAAAGCAGCUGGAGAGGGGAAGGGGAAGAGCUGAGGUCCCCUCACCUGGACAUGGCUCAUGACCCCAGUGUCCCAUACCCUCCUAUAGAGGCACCACAUGAGGUGGGAACCAGGCUGGGCUCUGCCUUCCUCCUCACCCACCCACCCACAGAUUCAGCAAACAGCCCGAGUGGCCCACUUCCUUGGCCCUUUUCUAAGGGCACCAUGAGCAGCAGGAGCUCCCUGAAUUUCAGGGGGAUGGGAAAGCCAGACCAGCUGGGCUACCCCUUCAACCACUCCCCAAGCCAAUAGACCCACCCUGAAUACCACCUUUUUGCUGCUGCAUGUUAAUGAAGUUGAUUGUGUAGUUUAAGGGGUUGCAGUCUCUACUCCACUGCUGAAAGGCUCAGGGUUAAACAUUGCAUGAUGGGGGAUUGUUACAGUUGCACAUAAAAACAAAUUAUAUUACCUUUUUCCUUAACUAAAAACUUAGGAAAUUAUGUAGAAAAAACCCCUAAAUUAGAGAUCAUUAUUUAGCUUGCAAAGUCAAGCACUUGAAAGUUAGAAAAUGUCAGAUUUAUGGUUGCCUGUGCAACCUUAAUUUGACCGCUUGUGCAUAUGCAUUAUGGUUGUCUUUAACUGCAUGAUCACAUGCUGUCUUUUCCACAGAACUCUGCCUCAUUCAGUGCACAGGAAAGAUGCACCAUGGAGGCAGAACUUAGUUUGUACAGACAACCCUAAAUCUAGUAUUUCCUAACUUACGAAUGCUUGACUGGCAACUUAAUUGUUCUUUUAACAUAGCCUCUUUUUUUGUAUGUAUAAUAAAAAAGUACAUUUAGCUUCUAAUACGUGUAAUGCCCUGUUAUCAGAAUGGUUUCUCCUGUCACCCAAACUACAGCAGCAUGACGGGGAUGUACAAGUCUCUUUUGCAUUUACAGAGAAUGUGGUUCUACUAACAUUUUUAAACGGUCUUCCCAAUGAAGACAUCUGGAAAGAUAUAAUCAACUUAGAAAUAGGAGUAAUCUAGCAGGUGAUACACAUUGCAUCUAUUGUCUGAGCUCAUUGCACAACCCAGGGGCUCCUUGACUCCCUCCACAUCCCACUUCCCCCAACAAGCUUUCCCUAGCCCGCAUCUCCUCUAUGCCAGGGGCUCUGUGGUCCCCUUUCCCCUCAUGCCAGGUCCACCAUUCUCCCCUUGCAGCUCUUCCCCUCCCUCCGCAAGUGGUUCUGUGUGCUCCCAUUCCCCCCACCAUUCUUCUUCAUCCUUUUUCUGUUUUAUUUUUUUUUCAGGGUUGUCAACAUUUUUAAACUGUAUUGGGAGGAUGGGCAGAGUUAGGGUGAGGGUUAUUGUAAAACUGGAAGGUGCUGAUGGCUGCCAUCAACUGGUUCUUUGCGCCUAUAGACAGUUGUGGAGGUGGCUGAAACUGCUAGUUCUGCAAACCCAUUCUGUGUCUCCCAUUUCCCCCUUUGGUUUUUCCAGUUGUCACCAAAAUGAGUAGGGUUCUGCCUGUUGAUACUUAAUACACUCCCUGAAAAUUUUGGAAUUGAUUGGACGCAGCAUUCCGAAGUUAUCGUGUAACACGUCCAAAUGCAGAAAUACCAUCGAGUUGAGUGCAAGGCCUCACAACUCUGCCAAUAAAAAUCAGAUUCUAUGCUUAAUCAUGUUGAUGCUGUUAAGGUGAAUUUUAUUACAAAUUGGAAUUAUAUAAGAAAAAGGAAAGACGGUGUUUUAAAUCAACAUUACUUUACUGUGAUGGAGAAUUCUUGGGAAGUAAAUGGAUGUCCUCAAUCCCAAAUGUGAAAGCAAAUAGUGCUGCUCCAGCUGAGGAGGAAAAAACUGGAUGACUCUGAGGAGGAGAGGACUCACAAGAGCCAUGGGGGGCCACGGAGGGGAACUGGUGCAGGCUUCUACAUUUAUCCAGAAAGAUAAUGCAACUACUGUGGAAGAGAUAGCAGCAAGUGUGGAAGGAACUGAUGAAUCUGAAGUUAGGCAGGAAAGUGUAAAGAAGAUGGAUUUUUAGUUACAGCGGCUUCUCCAAAGGUGCAAGUGGCAACAUAUGCAGCUCCUCAGUGCUGGACUUUUGAGCAUACAAAAUCCAUAUGAAGAAUCUGCUAGUAGCUAUUUGAGUCUACUGCAGACUUCUAAACAAAUUUUGUAGAUGGUUCGAGUCACUUUUGCUGACAAUGUUGACUGAUAUAGUUGCAAACAAUGCUAUUUUCAUCUGUUUCUUGUAGGGUUAGAUUACAUCUGUAUGUGUUGAAAUAAUUUUUUUUAAAUUACAUAUUUUGGCACCUGUUUGGAUAUUAAAACAGUAAUAUUUGAAUGUACCUUUUACUUUAAUAAAUUAUAAAUGUUCAAUAAAAUUGAAUUAUGCAUCUAAUUAUGAGUUAACAUUAAGAGGUUUUUUUCAAUUUCUAAUGUGGGGAAAAUCCUUCAUUCUGAAGUAGCAGCAAUUAAAAAAAUACAAGAGUUCCUAACCGGUUCUUCCAACAGUGGCUAGGGGGGAAAAAAAAAAAACAUUUUUUUUUUUUUUUUUAUGAGAGAGGGUAUCUGUAAAUUUUUUUUGUUACAUUGGACAUAGUAUGGGAAAAAAAUUGGAGAAUUGCUCACCUAGCCAACCUCAUCCUCAGCUCUGACAUACUUUAUAUCUGUGUGAAAGUUGUGUAGCACUUAGAGUAUCAAGUCAGAAACUGCUAAUGAACUGGCAAAUGUUAGAGUAAAACUUACUGGAUAUAUUAUUUUUUUAUUUCAUUUUUGUCAUAUUGCUACUUUGUUAAUUUUAUCAAAUGUGAAUUUUGAAGGACCCAAAAAUGUCAUGCCAUAUCUGAAUUCUGAUUUACUAGGGAAACCAAACUUCAGUGGAUCUUUUUCUCCUGCUUAUAUUGGAACAGCAUGUAUUAUCUUUAUAAGAUACUAGGCAUCAGGGUUUUUUUUCCUUAUUCAAUUAUUCAUUGGCUCUUCCUGGGUUUUGGUAUGUAAUGCCAUGUUCACACAAGGAAAGACUAUGUAAUGCAAUGAACAUAAUUUAAAGGUGUAGAAUUAAGUGAGUCAGUGAAGCCCAUGAAAAAUAAUCUGUAAAUCUCUUAAAGUGUAGUUCUUUUUCUAUUUGUAUAAGUAGUAUGUUAACAUCUAUUGUGAAAAUGAGAACCUUGUUGUAACUGACAUCUAAAUUGACCUAUUAAACUCAGGUGUGUAUUUGUGCUGUA